rnacentral:rRNA from 1 species
CCUACGGGUGGCAGCAGUGAGGAAUAUUGGUCAAUGGGCGCAAGCCUGAACCAGCCAAGUCGCGUGAAGGAUGACUGCCCUACGGGUUGUAAACUUCUUUUAUAAAGGAGUAAAGUGAGGCACGUGUGCCUUUUUGUGUGUACUUUAUGAAUAAGCAUCGGCUAACUCCGUGCCAGCAGCCGCGGUAAUACGGAGGAUGCGAGCGUUAUCCGGAUUUAUUGGGUUUAAAGGGAGCGUAGAGGGGUUGUUAAGUCAGUUGUGAAAGUUUGGGGCUUAACCUCAAAAGUGCUAUUGAUACUGGCAGCCUUGAGUACAGUUGAGGUAGGCGGAAUGCGUGGUGUAGCGGUGAAAUGCGUAGAUAUCACGAAGAACUCCGAUUGCGAAGGCAGCUUAC